CCUGACCCACACUGUUCCUACAAAGGCACCAGGAUUCUGACCCUCAGGGGCCCUGUGGGCACCUCAGGAAGGAUCACAAGCACUGUCACCAAGGGCUAGGAUAUGUCACAGAACAGUCCAGAACACUGGAGGUGACAACUUAGGGUGAAACUCAAUGCAACACUGAUGCAGGCAUCAGAGGCCUCCACGGAGUCUGAGCCAACAGCCGCAGACCAGGAGCCAUGAGAAUGAGGCCCCUGUGCGGGACAGGAAGUGGCAAGUAUCCAUGUGUCCUGUGAAGAUACUCAGGAAUGCCUAAGGCCAACUCCGUAAGUAACACCCUCAGGUCAAGUCCAGAGUCUUUGGGCACAAGGAGCCCUUGGGAAUUGGCUCAGCUGCAUCACACAGCACCCACAAGGGCCCUCUUGUACAACUCCACCUCACCCCCGCGGGGAGAUGUUCAGGCCAAGCAGAGGAUGUUAAUGCCUUCAGGGUCUUGGGGGUCCCUCCAGGCAGCCCAACCUGUCUAGCUGAUGCCCAGAUCCCGGUCUGAGAAUGAUACUAAGAAACCUCUCACCAGCAGAAAAAACACAGUUUCUUUUUCCUCUCAAGUGAUCCUCCCACUUCAGCCUCUAAAGUAGCUGGGACUACAGGUGCACACAACCGUACCCAGCUUUGAA
rnacentral:lncRNA from 10 species